GAUGAACGCUGGCGGCGUGCCUAAUACAUGCAGGUCGAGCGAACGGACGAGAAGCUUGCUUCUCUGAUGUUAGCGGCGGACGGGUGAGUAACACGUGGAUAACCUACCUAUAAGACUGGGAUAACUUCGGGAAACCGGAGCUAAUACCGGAUAAUAUUUUGAACCGCAUGGUUCAAAAGUGAAAGACGGUCUUGCUGUCACUUAUAGAUGGAUCCGCGCUGCAUUAGCUAGUUGGUAAGGUAACGGCUUACCAAGGCAACGAUGCAUAGCCGACCUGAGAGGGUGAUCGGCCACACUGGAACUGAGACACGGUCCAGACUCCUACGGGAGGCAGCAGUAGGGAAUCUUCCGCAAUGGGCGAAAGCCUGACGGAGCAACGCCGCGUGAGUGAUGAAGGUCCUCGGAUCGUAAAACUCUGUUAUUAGGGAAGAACAUAUGUGUAAGUAACUGUGCACAUCUUGACGGUACCUAAUCAGAAAGCCACGGCUAACUACGU
rnacentral:rRNA from 1 species